GAUGAACGCUGGCGGCGUGCCUAAUACAUGCAAGUCGAGCGAACGGACGAGAAGCUUGCUUCUCUGAUGUUAGCGGCGGACGGGUGAGUAACACGUGGAUAACCUACCUAUAAGACUGGGAUAACUUCGGGAAACCGGAGCUAAUACCGGAUAAUAUUUUGAACCGCAUGGUUCAAAAGUGAAAGACGGUCUUGCUGUCACUUAUAGAUGGAUCCGCGCUGCAUUAGCUAGUUGGUAAGGUAACGGCUUACCAAGGCAACGAUGCAUAGCCGACCGGAGAGGGUGAUCGGCCACACUGGAACUGAGACACGGUCCAGACUCCUACGGGAGGCAGCAGUAGGGAAUCUUCCGCAAUGGGCGAAAGCCUGACGGAGCAACGCCGCGUGAGUGAUGAAGGUCUUCGGAUCGUAAAACUCUGUUAAUAGGGAAGAACAUAUGUGUAAGUAACUGUGCACAUCUUGACGGUACCUAAUCAGAAAGCCACGGCUAACUACGUG
rnacentral:rRNA from 1 species